ACAGGUGGUCAGGUAGAGAAUACUCAGGCGCUUGAGAGAACUCGGGUGAAGGAACUAGGCAAAAUGGUGCCGUAACUUCGGGAGAAGGCACGCUGGCAUUAGGUAAAGGGACUUGCUCCCGGCGCCGAAGCCAGUCGCAGAUACCAGCUGGCUGCAACUGUUUAAUAAAAACACAGCACUGUGCAAACACGAAAGUGGACGUAUACGGUGUGACGCCUGCCCGGUGCUGGAAGGUUAAUUGAUGGGGUCAGCCGCAAGGCGAAGCUCUUGAUCGAAGCCCCAGUAAACGGCGGCCGUAACUAUAACGGUCCUAAGGUAGCGAAAUUCCUUGUCGGGUAAGUUCCGACCUGCACGAAUGGCGUAAUGAUGGCCAGGCUGUCUCCACCCGAGACUCAGUGAAAUUGAACUCGCUGUGAAGAUGCAGUGUACCCGCGGCAAGACGGAAAGACCCCGUGAACCUUUACUAUAGCUUGACACUGAACAUUGAGCCUUGAUGUGUAGGAUAGGUGGGAGGCAUAGAAGUGUGGACGCCAGUCUGCAUGGAGCCAACCUUGAAAUACCACCCUUUAAUGUUUGAUGUUCUAACUCGGCCCCGUAAUCCGGGGUGAGGACAGUGUCUGGUGGGUAGUUUGACUGGGGCGGUCUCCUCCCAAAGAGUAACGGAGGAGCACGAAGGUUAGCUAAUCACGGUCGGACAUCGUGAGGUUAGUGCAAAGGCAUAAGCUAGCUUGACUGCGAGAGUGACGGCUCGAGCAGGUACGAAAGUAGGUCUUAGUGAUCCGGUGGUUCUGAAUGGAAGGGCCAUCGCUCAACGGAUAAAAGGUACUCCGGGGAUAACAGGCUGAUACCGCCCAAGAGUUCAUAUCGACGGCGGUGUUUGGCACCUCGAUGUCGGCUCAUCACAUCCUGGGGCUGAAGUAGGUCCCAAGGGUAUGGCUGUUCGCCAUUUAAAGUGGUACGCGAGCUGGGUUUAGAACGUCGUGAGACAGUUCGGUCCCUAUCUGCCGUGGGCGUUGGAAGAUUGAGAGGGGCUGCUCCUAGUACGAGAGGACCGGAGUGGACGAAUCACUGGUGUUCGGGUUGUCAUGCCAAUGGCAUUGCCCGGUAGCUAAAUUCGGAAGAGAUAACCGCUGAAAGCAUCUAAGCGGGAAACUUGCCUCGAGAUGAGUCUUCCCUGGGGCUUUAAGCCCCCUGAAGGAACGUUAAAGACGAUGACGUUGAUAGGCUGGGUGUGUAAGUGCAGCGAUGCAUUGAGCUAACCAGUACUAAUGAACCGUGAGGCUUAACCUU
rnacentral:rRNA from 1 species